CACCUUAGGAACCCCAUCAUCAACAUGGGGAGGGGAGGCCACUUCAGGCUUUUGAGGCCUGGUCUAAAUUCAGCCCCCUUUGGGAAUUUGUGUCAGUCCCUCUGGGAUUGGAGCAGCCCCCUGUGCCCCACCCCCUCCGCUGUCAGACCUGGGUUAUACGAGGAGCUUCUGGGAGAAGAAGCAGUAAGAGAAGAUGUCACAGCUGAUGUCUCCAGGGAUGGGUCUUUUGAUGGAAGAAAGAGGACCCCAACUCAGCAUCCUUUGAAGGUUCAUGAUGAUCAGGGAAGCUCAGGGGACUUCUCUGCUGCUAGAGGUGGGUUGGGGAUGUUGGAAUCAUCUCAAAAAGUGGAGAAAAGAAAAAUCAGAAUUCUGUUUGUACCCCUGCCUCUGUGCUGCUUCUCUUCACUGUCAUUUAUCUUUUGCUCUCAUGAGUUUCACCAGGGCCAUUUGGGAGAUCUGGGGGUGGGGGUGAAAGUUGAGACCUGGUGCUGGAGGGGAAGCUGAGAAGGGGGAUUUUCAUGCUGAAGACCUGAAAGGAAGCAACUCUAACAUCCCCAAGGGGCCAGACUGUAAAUGAUUCUUCCCAGGCCCCUGUCAAUACUCACUCUGUAGGAAAGUAGCACUGGGAGAAGAACUAUCUUAGCAACAAAUAGAUUUGGGAGAAGGGUCUAUAAUAACUGAAGACCACUGCCUGAGGCUGAGCUUGAAACUGACUAAAAGGGACAAAGGAAACCAGGGGUCCAGUCUCCCCUCCAUGAUGAAAUACCCAGGACCCCUGUCCUCACGCCCCUCCUGGGUCACAUCCACUAUGGAGAUACUUGACCAUGGAGGUCUCGGGCUGUGGGAGUUCCCACAGUUUCUGGCCAGUAUCUUGAUGGUGAGAAACUAGUGCUUCUCAUUCAUGCUGGAAUUCCAUUUAGAUGCUGAACAACUUCUGAGUUUCCAUUUUUCUAGACUGAGUUCCAGUCCUGGUUCUGGGACAAGGUAGCUGUGUGUGGUCCAGAGUAGUUCAAUUAUCUGGGCCUCUGUUUCUUUAUUUCUCAUUAUCAUUGAUAUAGUCAGCGAAAUUGGUUGAAAACAAUAUGUGUCAGGCAUGCUGAAUUCUGGGACAAAAAAAUUGAGUAAGGCAUAGACCCUACCCUCCAAGAAUAGAACAGCCAGACACUAAUACAGUAAUUCCAUAGCAUAUGUAAAUUAUAAAAGAACUGUUGUAAAUGAGUCUAUUGAGUUGUAACUAAGUAAGGUGGGUAGAACUAUAAUCACCCCAAGGAUUCAUUCACCAAUCGAACGUUUGUCCAUUUGUCAAGUAAUUACUAUUUGCCAGUCACUGCUAAGUGGUAAGUGACAUAGAAAUGGUCCUUUGUGGAGCUCACAAUUUAUUGGACUAUGGAAGCAAUUAAAUAGAUAAUUACCAAAAAAGUGUGAUAAGUGCUGUGAGAAGGGUGGAACAGGGUCCUGUGGGAUAGUGGUGGCUCCAUAUAGAAGGGUCUUGUGAUGCUGGUCAGAAAGGAGUGGAGGACAGGGCUGGGGGCUGUGAUUGUAUAGCAAGUUAUAUAAGACAGAAAAAAUCAGUGGUCUGUGGUAAAGAAUUGCUAUGGGAACACCCAGCAGGGGCCAGUCUUGGUGAGUCAGAGGAAGCCUCCUAGAGGAACAGAGGUCCAAGCUGAGGCCUGAAAACUGAGCAGGAGUAAGCCAGGCAUUGAGAGGGAAAGAGCAUUCCUGAGGGGACAGCAAAGGACAAGGAACAGCACGUAACAAUUUCGGAAGACUAACUCGUUCAGCAUGGCUGGGGCAGAGGGUUCAAGGGAGAAGUGGCGAAAGGUGAAGCUGGAGAGGUAGGCUUGGGUCAGCUCUCACUGGGCCUUGUCAACCAUGCUAAAGAUUAAGGCUUUAUCCAGAGGAGCACUGAGACCAAGAAGGAGAGAUUUGUGCCUUAGGUCACUUUGAUUGGAGUGUGGAGACUGGUUUGGAAAGGGAAGAGAGAUCAGAGGCUUUUGCAGAGAUCCCAGAGAAAGAAUGGAAACCGGAAUUAAGGGUUUCCUUAACCGGAAUUAAGGGGUAUAUAAAAAGGGUUUGGGGGAAGAGAGGUGUGGCUGCACACAGAGAUUUGGGUGUCAGUAACAUAUAGGUGGGAGGAGGGUAACUGAGAUAAUCCACAGAAAGUGUGUAGCGUGAGAAGAGAAGAGGGCUGAGGAAGGACAUGGAAAAUAUAAAAGGGAAGGCAGGGAAAGAGGAACCAGCAGACAGGAUAAAACCUAGGAAGUGUGGUGCAUUGAAAGCUUAGGGAAGGAGGAAGGGCGCAGUGCAGAAUGCUGCUGAGGAUUGAUGACAAGAAUGAAGAGUGUCCACUGGAUUUAGUAAAAAGCCUUGCUGAUCUUGGUGGGAGCAGUUCCAUUGGACAGGUGAGGUCAGAAUUCCCAGAUGUCAGGGGAUUGAGGAAUAAUUUGGAGGAAUGAAGUGGAAGCAGUGGAGAAAAGGAUAUAAUUUUCAAGAAGUUUGGUUGUGUUUGCAAUGACAGAAAAACGGAGAGAGCAAAGUAUAUAAAAUCGAGGAAAACAGUUUUUUAAAGUUUUCAACAUUUUCACAGGCUGUUUAGAAGGGUCAAGUGGAGGAGGAAAGGUUGAAAAUGCAGGAAAGUGGGGAUUAGUGAUGGAACAAGCCCUGGAGAGCAGGCGGGGGUGGCACUGACAGUCCCGGUGCAGGGAUUACCCUCCCGCAGGAGCCUGGUGGCUUCUGUCGUAAUAGGAGGAAACAGCGCUGACAUUCAGCCGGUUUGCACUGGUACUGCUCAACCAGUUGUUAAAACACUUCUGUACCAGUUAGUAAGUAGUAUAAGAGUAACUGCAAUAAGCAGUAAAAAUAAUUAAUAAAACAAAUUAUAAUAUGAACUCAUCAGUUCAAGUAAUUUUGAGAUUGCGACAGCCAUUGGUAAAUGGGCUUCCCGCUGCACCUGAGACGCUUUGCAGCGCCAUCUGCCGGUGGAGCAUCAUCACUGCAGGCUGAGCGGCUGCUUUGAGCCUUAUUAAAUAAAUUCUUUAAAAUUACCUGUCUAAAUUAUCUUUGAAUUAUGGAGUUGCUAUUGCUUCUAAGUAGUUUAGCUUCUACUUUGAUUUUAUUGCUAGUUCACUGUCACUCUUGUGUCCGUAGUAAACUGCAGUGUUUUAAUAUUUACAAAUUCAAGAAUUUUUAAUAAAAUAUUAAAGCCAAACUUGAAUAAAGAGA
ensembl:lncRNA